rnacentral:rRNA from 1 species
UACGUAGGGGGCAAGCGUUGUCCGGAUUUAUUGGGCGUAAAGAGCGUGUAGGCGGCUAGGCAGGUCCGUUGUGAAAACUCGAGGCUCAACCUCGAGACGCCGAUGGAAACCAUCUGGCUAGAGUCCGGAAGAGGAGAGUGGAAUUCCUGGUGUAGCGGUGAAAUGCGCAGAUAUCAGGAAGAACACCCGUGGCGAAGGCGGCUCUCUGGGACGGUACUGACGCUGAGACGCGAAAGCGUGGGGAGCGAACAGG